ensembl:snRNA U6 U6 spliceosomal RNA
AUAAAUAUAAUUAUAUGUGCUAAAACUUAAAUAAUUUAGAAAAUUAGCAUGGCCCCUGUGCAAGGAUGCCUGAAAAUUCACGAAGUAUUCCAAAUUUUU